rnacentral:rRNA from 1 species
AACGAACGCUGGCGGCAUGCCUAACACAUGCAAGUCGAGCGCGCCCUUCGGGGUGAGCGGCGGACGGGUGAGUAACGCGUGGGAACGUGCCCUUCUCUGCGGAAUAGCCUCGGGAAACUGAGAGUAAUACCGCAUACGCCCUUUGGGGGAAAGAUUUAUCGGAGCAGGAUCGGCCCGCGUUGGAUUAGGUAUUUGGUGGGGUAAUGGCACACCAAGCCGACGAUCCAUAGCUGGUUUGAGAGGAUGAUCAGCCACACUGGGACUGAGACACGGCCCAGACUCCUACGGGAGGCAGCAGUGGGGAAUCUUAGACAAUGGGGGCAACCCUGAUCUAGCCAUGCCGCGUGAGUGAUGAAGGCCUUAGGGUUGUAAAGCGCUUUCAGCUGGGAAGAUAAUGACGGUACCAGCAGAAGAAGCCCCGGCUAACUCCGUG